rnacentral:rRNA from 1 species
GACGAACGCUGGCGGCGUGCUUAACACAUGCAAGUCGAGCGGUAAGGCCCUUCGGGGUACACGAGCGGCGAACGGGUGAGUAACACGUGGGUGACCUGCCUCUAGCUCUGGGAUAAGCCUGGGGAAACUGGGUCUAAUACCGGAUAUGACUCCACGGCGCAUGUUGUGGGGUGGAAAGCCUUGUGUGGCUUAGAGGAUGGGCCCGCGGCCUAUCAGCUUGUUGGUGGGGUGAUGGCCUACCAAGGCGACGACGGGUAGCCGGCCUGAGAGGGCGACCGGCCACACUGGGACUGAGACACGGCCCAGACUCCUACGGGAGGCAGCAGUGGGGAAUCUUGCGCAAUGGGCGAAAGCCUGACGCAGCAACGCCGCGUGAGGGAUGACGGCCU